GCACACCAAAAAGGGAAGUCGUGGUGGCCAUGGUGAUGCCCUCUCCACAUCCCCUUUCUAAAAAGUACUUGCUGCCCCUUUAAGAAAGUUUGUUGUCUCAGCUGUGAGAGAUGCUUUGGCAGACAAGCUUCAGCUGGCAGCACCUUCAAGGAUGGCUUCAGCUCCACAGAACUUCCUCACCGAAGGUCGUGUCCUUCAGAGGGUAGCCCACAUCAAAUGACGGUGGAGGAGGGUAGACAUCUGUCAGACCAUUUCAGCCCAACAAAGGACAACUGUAAUGGGUUGUUUUAGCCCAAGCUUCCGCAUGAAGUUGGAACUGCUCCUACUGCCAGAUCCUUCUUCCUGCCUCCCCUUUCCAUGAGCGCUGAUGAGUCUUAGAGUCCAUCUCAGCGUCCUUCCCGGAGAACCCGACUCGUGAGACAUGGGUGGUUAAAAACACAUCUCUACAUCAGUAAUGACCUAGCUUCUCCACGUACUCAAGGAGGAUCAGGAGUAUGACUACAUUUCACUGUGCAGUGCCCCAAGGUCUUUCCAAGGUGAAUGUUGCCAGUGCCUAACCAGGUUCAACGAAUUUGCUGCUAUCCUGAGACUGAUUCUCAGUAGACACAAAGGACUGGCGCACACACUAUCAUAUGGCAGGAUGCGAUGGAAUGGGAAGGUCCUCAUUAUUUCCAAGAUAUUGUCCUAACAAUUGCUGGGUGCCCUCAAGAUUCUCCAAUGCCUCCAAUAUGUAAGCCUCAGGCCUAAGGGGAAACUACACAAUUCUGGACCAUGGCGGGGGAGUGAACUCAGCUGGAACAGGUUAAAAAUCCUACUCAAUCUCCAUGACUGAGUGACAACUGAGAGAUCAAAGAAACUUCAAAGCAAAGAGCAAAAAAG
rnacentral:lncRNA from 1 species